UUUUUGAUAAAUUGUGAUUUUUCGAAUGGAUUUUGAUGCAGGGGUGCGAUGAAAAUUAAGGGCAGCAUAAGUGCAGCACAGAAAUUCACACCUGAUAUUUUCCCAAAGCCUUCAAAAAUGUGAACAAAGCUACUACUAAAUGUCAGUAGGGACUGUUCUUUAAUAUUUUGUGUCACCAAAAAUCUACUCAUAUCAUAUGAUAAGAAAAUUAUGGAGGAUUUGAAUUUUAUUUGUCUGUUCUUGGGGUAUAAUUCUGUGUCCCUUUUAUGAUGAAUUGCUGGACUUUCCAACAAGGAACUGAAAUAUAAAUGUUCACAUUUUACAGAGACUGAUUAUUGUGUCUUCAAUUCACAUUGAGCUUAUAUUACAUAAAUGAUUCUGUUUUAUGGUUAUGUCUAUCAUCUUUGUUAUACGGAUACAAAUCUUAAUUAUUUUAAGGUUAUGUCUUCGUAUAGUUGGCCUAAGGAUGUUCCUUAAAAUACAUGUUGAUGUUAGUUAAUCUUGGUUACCUUACUGGAAUUUCAGUUUAUUUUGUUGAGCAUUGCAUCUGCUGUAGCAUUCUGUUGCUUUUUGCGUAUCUUUCUAGCCUGAGAUAGAUGAAUUUAAAUAGAAACAUGGUUGGUUUUAAUAUUUAUAUAGCCGAUCUUAGGAGAGGCAAACGGGCGGAUCAAUCAAUAUUGUUCGGAUAAAAUGGGUAAUAAAAAUGAAUCAAUUAUUCGACCCAACCCAUAUUUAAUAUGGAUAAAAAAGAGGUUAAUCGGCAAAUAAUGAUCAUUUUUGGGAGAAUUUUUUAGUCUCCCUAACUUAAGGAACUUCCAAUUUGAGGCUUUACAAAUAUAAAUGUUAGAUCUAUUGGUUACCAAAUAGUUAUCUAUUUUCUAUUGGGUAAACGAUUGGGGGCGAUCAAUCGUUCCACGACAUCCACGACAGUGUAAACUUAGUGGGAGAUAGCAAGAAUAUGCCAUUCAAAUAUUCUCUCUGUUGUAUUUUCUAGGGGUUCUUGGGAGAUUUUUCCUUAUAAAUAGGAAGGGCGAGUAAAGAAAAAGGGGACAUAAGAAAAACAGACAAAAGGGCACUUUGUAAAUGAAUCCUCUCAGAUUGAAUAUAAAAGCAGUCUUAUUCACCAGAGAAGAUAAAAAUAUUGCCCAAUCAUCUCAUAUUUAUUCCCCCCUUUAAUUUCGAUAGCCCCUUUCAAACUUGAUUGUGCAUUUAAGUCUUCAUAUUUGUGAGCAUUCAUUUUAUUCCAACAUAUUUGUUACAUCAUUCAUCUUGCUUACUCUCUCCAUCACUUGAUCUAGAUUUUAUUGUGUUUAACUAAAAUUGUCCUCAUCUUUAUCAUUAUUUACAUUAAUCAUAAAGGUUUUGAUAUUUUUUGGUCAAACAAUUUGACGCCGUGUGUGGGGAUUUCUUUAGUUGAAAUCAUAGUUUUAUCUAGAUCACAGAAAGGGAUACAUAGUCAUCUUUUCCUAGUUUUGCAUAAACUAACAAUGGUAGGGAAAGGAGAUGCGAGAUUGAAAGCGAUAACAGAUGUCACCGCCAACAUUUUGAACAUUAUCAAUGAAGACAACAUGGUUGGACAAUGAAAAUGUGACGCCUAGCACUACGCUUAGGCGAAACGCUUCACCUCCCCCCUUCCCCCCGCGAAGGUGUUACUACUUUGUGUGAAAAGGAAACCUCCACAUCAUUGACAGAAGAGGCGCAACAGGUGGUGAAAAGGUUACUGGAAGAAUGGCUAAACAGCACUCUGAACAACAUACUUGACAAACCCAUCCAAAAGGAGGACAUGGAUGUUGCGUACGUAGAAAUCACGACAGACAUCAAUGAGCAAGAUGUCCCCCGAACCGGUAACACUCAUACUAUUAUUACUGCAGGUAGUGACACACUCAUAAUCAUUCUAAAGAAAGUGGAGGAAAUGAAAAACGAAAAUAAGGCACUCCGUGACCAGAUGAAGGAGCAUCAAGAAAGGGUUGAUAAGAUACCGAGCGCCCCAAAGUUGUUACCAAAACAAGACGUUGGCCGAUUCAUCGAACAACCAUACAAUGAUUAAGCAGCCCCCCAUGCUAAUCCUGAAACCUUCAAAAUGUCAGCGUGCAUGAAGAUAUACGAUGGUACUACAGACCCAGAAGAUCAUAGCGUUCACACGUCACGACAGUAAAAGGCAACGAUCUUUUGAGAGAGCAUGUACUGUUGGUGCUACUAAAAAAGUUUGGCGAAAACCUAACAGGGGGAGCCCUAACCUGUUACUCAUAAUUACUAGUGUUAGUUUGUAUGAGUCCGCCAAAUCGUAGAGUACUUGGUCCUCUACAAGAUUCUACUGAGAAUUCUGAUAAAACAGUAUGUAAAUAAGACAGAGAAUUUUACAUGGAAAAAUCUCACACAAAGGGAUCAAAAAAUCACGACCUACACCUGUAGGCUUUAACUUCACUAACUUGUAAAGAACCAAUUACAAGCCACUUUGCGAUGACUCCUAUUUCAAAGGAAUUACUCAACGAACUUGUGGUACUCUUAGCACAAGCUACUUUGUGACUUCCUAGUUACAGAGCCUUUUUCUAACUUUUGAUGCUCUCACCACAAGUCACUUUGUAAUUCUACAAUUACAAAGACUUUCCUUAUGAAUAAAUCUAAUCACAACAUAAACUCAAGGAGUUUAAGAAUUUACAAGAGGAUUCCUAAUCAAACACUUCUAGGUAAGCAGUUUAGGAUAUACAAUAAGUGCAAUAACAAAGUUACAACUCAACUAGGACAACAACAAGCUAUCUUUUAGGAAUGGGCCCGUAGUGGUGUUCAACCUUGUUCUUCAAGCUUGUGAGAAUUGAUUUAUUUGCUUUUGCAAGAAGUUUGAUUGAGAAAAAGAAACAUUCAAGUGAUGUUUUGUAUAAAACCCAUUGUAGGUACAUCUUGAUCACAUCACUUGAAAUGACGUGAGUACUUUUUUGGUUAGAGAAUGAGUGGGUGUUGAGACAGUGCAAUGCGGCAAAAAUAGUGUCGUCAGUCACUUUAUUUCCAACUGUGUCCAACUGACUCUGUAUUGCUAUGAGGAAACCACAAGAGUAUUAGGUCCUUAUGUGGGUUCCUAGCUCCUGAAGCUGUAGCAGUUCACCUUUAAUUAGAAUCCAUUUAUGUUUGCAGUAGUCCAAGUAGGUCGGGUUCCUUAUCUGGUUCUUAAUAGUAAAUUUGCUAGAUAAUCGAAACAUAAGGCAAGAGUAUUUAAAAUCUAUCAAUUUUCUCAUUUUUGAUGAUGACAAACUAACAUUUAUAAAGUGGAUUUAGGGCAGUAAGAACUACUUUUAAAGUAUCAAGGGAACACAGAGUUUCUUCUGAGACCACAUAGCAGUAAGAACCAGAUUAAGGAUCAAGGGACCACAGAGCUCCCCCAUGUGUUCCCCCCGAGUAUUAUUUCCCCCUUUUGGUAUUAUUUAAAAGAAUAACAGCACAAAGAAGUCCAGCUAAGCUAACUCAUGCGACAUAUGUGCACACAAUCAUGAUAAAGAAUAGAACAUAGAAAGAGAGUAUUGACAUAAUAAUAUGAGGAUUGAUAUUAAUAAAGAUUUAAUAUGCCUCUACUUUUGAAAAAGUGAGAGGCAACAUUGGAAUUGUUAAUGGGAGCAGUACUGUUUCAUCCCAACCACAAAGAAAAAGAAAAUAAAAAUAUCUGCCAAACCAUCAACAAAGAACAAAAAAAAACA
rnacentral:lncRNA from 1 species